UACGUAAGGUCCGAGCGUUGUCCGGAAUCAUUGGGCGUAAAGGGUACGUAGGCGGAUAAGCAAGUUAGAAGUGAAAUCCUAUAGCUCAACUAUAGUAAGCUUUUAAAACUGCUCAUCUUGAGGUAUGGAAGGGAAAGUGGAAUUCCUAGUGUAGCGGUGAAAUGCGCAGAUAUUAGGAGGAAUACCGGUGGCGAAGGCGACUUUCUGGCCAUAAACUGACGCUGAGGUACGAAAGCGUGGGU
rnacentral:rRNA from 1 species